AGAGUUUGAUCCUGGCUCAGAACGAACGCUGGCGGCGUGGAUAAGACAUGCAAGUCGAACGCUGGCUUGGAGGUAGCAAUAUUUCCAAGUCGGAGUGGCGCAAGGGUGCGUAACACGUGGGCAAUGUGCCGUGAAGUUGGGGAUAACUUGCUGAAAGGCGAGCUAAUACCGAAUACGACUGUUGGGAAGCAUUUUCCGGCAGUCAAAGUUGGGGACCUGCAAAGGCCUGACGCUUUACGAUCAGCCCGCGGCCUAUCAGCUAGUUGGUGAGGUAACGGCCCACCAAGGCGAAGACGGGUAGCUGGUCUGAGAGGACGACCAGCCACACUGGAACUGAGACACGGUCCAGACACCUACGGGUGGCAGCAGUCGAGAAUUUUUCACAAUGGGCGCAAGCCUGAUGGAGCGACGCCGCGUGGGGGAUGAAGGGUUUCGAUCCGUAAACCCCUGUCAUUUGCGAACAAUGGCUAUUCAAUAACACUGGAUGGCUUGAUAGUAGUGAAAGAGGAAGGGACGGCUAACUCUGUGCCAGCCGCCGCGGUAAUUC
rnacentral:rRNA from 1 species